rnacentral:piRNA from 1 species
UGAAUAGCAAAGCUAGGUGCCUUCCCAUAU